rnacentral:rRNA from 1 species
AUGGUCAGAAGCAGCCCCAUGCAGGCGGUGCUGGUGGCGCCGGGGGUGAAGGACAAGCAGGUGCUCCCCUACAAGCGGGACGCGCUCAAGGAGAAGCACGCCGUCGCCGGCCUCAUGCGCUCCAUCGCCGGCGGCCCCGGCGUGCGCGGCGCCUUCUACGUCCUCGACCUCGCCAGGGUCGUCGACCUGUACAUGCGCUGGCGCCGCGCGCUCCCGGACGUGCGGGCGUACUACGCCGUCAAGUGCAACCCGGAGCCGGCGCUGCUCGGCGCGCUGGCCGCCCUCGGCGCCGGGUUCGACUGCGCCAGCCGCAGGGAGAUCGAGGCCGUUCUCGCGCUCGGUGUCGAGCCGGCCAGCAUCGUGUACGCCAACCCGUGCAAGCCCGAGGCGCACAUCGAGUACGCGGCGCGGGUGGGCGUCAACCUCACCACGUACGACUCCGAGGAGGAGGUGGCCAAGGUGAAGCGCUGCCACCCCGGCUGCGAGCUCAUCCUCCGCAUCAAGGGCCCCGACAACGGCGACGCCAAGGUCGACCUCGGCACUAAAUACGGCGCGCACGCCGACGAGGUGGUGCCGCUGCUCCGCGCCGCGGAGCGCGCGGGCCUCGGCGUGGCCGGCGUGUCCUUCCACAUCGGCAGCGGCGGGACCCGCACCGACGUUUACUGCGGGGCCAUCGAGGCCACGCGCGCGGCGUUCGACGCGGCCGCCGCGCUCGGCAUGCCGCCCAUGCGCGUGCUCGACGUCGGCGGCGGCUUCAUGGCAGGAGGCAACGCGUUCGAAGAGGCGGCGGCGGUCAUCCGCGACACGUUGGCGGAGCACUUCGGCGACCUCCCGUGCGUGGAGGUCAUCGGAGAGCCGGGACGGUACUUCGCCGAGACGGCCUUCACGCUGGCGGCGCGCGUCAUCGGGAAGCGCACGCGCGGCGAGGUGCGGGAGUACUGGAUCGACGACGGACUCUACGGCUCCCUCAACUGCGUCCUCAUGGACGACUACGUGCCCCGCCCGAGGCCGCUCGCCACCCCACGCGCCGGCGAGGAGGCGUACACGUCGACGGUGUUCGGGCCGACCUGCGACUCGCUCGACACGGUGGUCACCGGGUACCGGCUGCCGGAGAUGAGCGUGGGGGACUGGCUCGUGUUCGACGACAUGGGCGCCUACUCCAUCGGCUCCGGCUCCCAUUUCAACGGCUUCUCCAUGGCCGACAUUACGACAUUCUUGGCCUACUCUAGCUAG